GACCACUAAAUUCUUUACAGACGGUUUGAUAAAAGAUUCCAGGGGGGACAGGUCCGAGACGGGGUUGUGUCUGUCUCCAUUUGGUCCAAAAAGAAUGACUUCUGUUUUGUUUCAUCAAAGACAUCAAAGACAUCCAGUCUUUGAUGUCUUUAAGACAAGCAAGCAAUGUGCUCAAAGAGUUUGGGUCUUUCUUUUUUAAGAGCAGGUAAAGUUGUGUGUGUCAUCUACGUAAAAAUGGAAGGAUAUUCCAUAUUUCCUAAGAAUAGACCCUAGGGGAAGCAUGUAUAAAGAAAAGAAAAUUGGACCAAGUAUAGAGCCUUGAUGUACUCCACAAGGGAGAGGGGCUGAGGAGGAUGUAAAAUCACCAAGGCUAACAGAGACGCUACGAUCAGUCAGGACCAGUUGUCCUCAUGGAGACUAAAACCUGGUCCUAAUGAGGCAAAACCUACUUUCUGAGGAACUGGUAAAGAUCUGGGCUAAGAGUUGUGGUGAGGUUAAGGGAUCCGUGCCAGGGAGCGGGAGUACAGGGCCUCCCAGCGCUCCGCCGUCCGGUUCAGGCCCGGAGCGACCCCCGCGAGUCCGGUCACCAGGCCCAAGAUGACAAGAGUCCGCAGGGCCGACAGAGAGCCCAUCCCGGG